CUUCAUGUACGUCUAUGACUGGCCGACGCUUUACAGGCAGGAAACAGUUAUGACUGGGAUCCAGACUUCACAUUAUGGAACAGGAUGAACGCUGGCGGCGUGCCUAAUACAUGCAAGUCGAACGCUUUGUCUUUAAUUGAUCUGACGAGCUUGCUCUAAUUUGAUUUUAUCUGACAAAGAGUGGCGAACGGGUGAGUAACACGUGGGUAACCUACCUCUUAGCAGGGGAUAACAUUUGGAAACAAGUGCUAAUACCGUAUAAUACCAACAACCGCAUGGUUGUUGGUUGAAAGAUGGUUCUGCUAUCACUAAGAGAUGGGACCCCCCGGUGCCAUAAGCUAGUUGGUAAGGUAACGGCUCUACCUAUAGGCAAUGGAUGGCAUAAGCCGAAGUUGAGAGACUAGGAUCGGGCCACAAAUGGGACUGAGACACGGCCCCAUACUCCUUCGGGGAUGGCAGCAGUUGGGGAAUCUUCCACAAUGGGGCGCAAGCCUGAUGGAGCAACGCCCGCGUGUGUGAUGAAGGGUUUCGGCUCGUAAAAACGCUGUUUAUAAGAGAAGAACGGCACUGAGAGUAACUGUUUCAGUGUGUGACGGUAUCUUACCAGAAAGGAACGGCUAAAAUACGUGCCAGCAGCCGCGGUAAUACGCAUGUUUCCAAGCGUUAUCCGGGAUUAUUGGGCGUAAAAGCGAGCGCAGACGGUUUAUUUAAUUCUGAAGUGGAAAGCCCUUCAGCUCAACUGAGGAAUGGGCUUUGGAAAACUGGAAUGACUUUGAGUGCAGUAGAGGAAAGUUGGAACUCCCAUGUGGUAGCGGUGAAAUUGCAUAGAAUAUAUGGAAGAAACACCCAGUGGCGAAAGGGCGGCUUUUCUUGGACCUGUAACUGGACGUUUGCAGGCUCGAAAGUGUGGGUAGCAAACAGGAUUAGAUACCCUGGUAGUCCACACCGUAAACGAUGAGUGCUAGAUGUUCGAGGGUUUCCGCCCUUGAGUGUAAGCAG
rnacentral:rRNA from 1 species